rnacentral:rRNA from 1 species
AGCGAACGCUGGCGGCAGGCUUAACACAUGCAAGUCGAGCGCCGUAGCAAUACGGAGCGGCAGACGGGUGAGUAACACGUGGGAACGUACCUCUUGGUUCGGAACAACACAGGGGAAACUUGUGCUAAUACCGGAUAAGCCCUUACGGGGAAAGAUUUAUCGCCGAGAGAUCGGCCCGCGUCCGAUUAGCUAGUUGGUGAGGUAACGGCUCACCAAGGCGACGAUCAGUAGCGGUCUGAGAGGAUGAUCAGCCACACUGGGACUGAGACACGGCCAGACUCCUACGGGAGGCAGCAGUGGGGAAUAUUGGACAAUGGGCGCAAGCCUGAUCCAGCCAUGCCGCGUGAGUGAUGAAGGCCCUAGGGUUGUAAGCUCUUUGUGCGGGAAGAUAAUGACUGUACCGCAAGAAUAA